GAAAUCCCUCGGGAUGUAAACUUCGCAAGAACGGGAAGAAUAAGUAGGGGACAAUACCCCCUAUGAUGACGGUACCGUUUGUAAGCUCCGGCUAACUCCGUGCCAGCAGCCGCGGUAAUACGGGGGGAGCAAGCGUUGUUCGGAUUUACUGGGCGUAAAGGGCGCGUAGGCGGCCAGCACAAGUCAGUUGUGAAAUCUCCGAGCUUAACUCGGAAAGGUCAACUGAUACUGUGCGGCUAGAGUGCAGAAGGGGCAACUGGAAUUCUUGGUGUAGCGGUGAAAUGCGUAGAUAUCAAGAGGAACACCUGCGGCGAAGGCGGGUUGCUGGGCUGACACUGACGCUGAGGCGCGAAAGCUAGGGGAGCGAACGGGAUUAGAUACCCCGGUAGUCCUAGCCUUAAACGAUGAAUGCUUGGUGUCUGGGGUUAUAUAGUCCCCGGGUGCCGUCGCUAACGCUUUAAGCAUUCCGCCUGGGGAGUACGGUCGCAAGACUGAAACUCAAAG
rnacentral:rRNA from 1 species